rnacentral:rRNA from 1 species
UACGAAGGGGGCUAGCGUUGUUCGGAAUCACUGGGCGUAAAGCGCACGUAGGCGGAUUGUUAAGUCAGGGGUGAAAUGCCAAGGCUCAACCUUGGAACUGCCUUUGAUACUGGCAAUCUCGAGUUCGGGAGAGGUGAGUGGAACUGCGAGUGUAGAGGUGAAAUUCGUAGAUAUUCGCAAGAACACCAGUGGCGAAGGCGGCUCACUGGCCCGGUACUGACGCUGAGGUGCGAAAGCGUGGGGAGCAAACAGG